GAUGAACGCUGGCGGCGUGCUUAACACAUGCAAGUCGAACGGAAAGGCUCCUGCUUGCCUGGGUACUCGUGUGGCGAACGGGUGUGUAACACGUGGGUGUUCUGCCCUGUACUUCGUGAUAAGCCUGGGAAACUGGGUCUAAUACCGGAUAGGACGAUGGUUUGGAUGCCAUUGUGGAAAGUUUUUCGGUGUGGGAUGAGCUGGAGGCUUAUCAGCUUGUUGGUGGGGUAAUGGCUUACCAAGGCGUCGACGGGUAGUCGGCAUGAGAGGGUGUACGGCCACAAUGGGACUGAGAUACGGAGCAGAGGGGAACGGGAGGCAACAGUGGGGAAUAUUGCACAAUGGGGGCAAGCGUGAUAAAGAGACGCAGGGUGGGGAAAGAGGGCGUUCGGGGGGAAAACUCCUUUGGAUAGAGACGAAGAGGAAGUGACGGUACCUGAAGAAGAAGCAACGGCUAACUACGUG
rnacentral:rRNA from 1 species